UCCAUCAGAGGGAAGAGCAAGAGCGGUGGAGAGUAGAGAGUAACCAGUGAACACACCAAUUUCCAACGUGUUCUUCGCAUUUAUGAGCUUAAUCAGCAUGCUUAGAAGUUGUCCUUCAUCAGCAGGGGUAGCCAUAAUCCACAUGAAAUUAGGUAGGCCUUGUGUGUGUGUGUAUAUAUUUUUCUAAGUUAUUUUUUGUUUCAUAAGAAGACAAACAACUGUAAUCUUACCGAGGGUGUUUUUUUGUCAUCUCACGGAGCUCCUUCAGACAUCGAUGCUCUCUUGGAUGCACGCUUGUAUCGAGUAUUUACUGAAAAUACACAAGUUUUAUUUUUUGUUUCUUAUUUACAAAGCACAAAACUAGUAAAGAUCAUGAACAACACUAGUAUUUCAUAUAAGUAAAACAAAAAGAAAGUGAAAUACAGAGGUAUCAAAGUUUGAUGUGUCAAAAAAAUUUAUUAAUUAAAAUAGAUAAAUAGAAAAUUUUAGAGAGUGGACCUGGUAAAGUGCAUUUGAAGGAGAGUCUUAUGAGCAAGAUCUUUGUGCCCGAAGAGUUGUUGGUUUUGGUUUUGUUGUUUGACAUUCGUUGUUGAUAGCCAUCUCUUGUGUACCUUUCUUAAUUAGUGUUUUUUUGGACUAUGGAAAGCUCUCUCUAUGACGAGGAAUUCUAGCUCCCUAAAGCUGUCAAAUAUAUACAGAAAAUGAUGUCAAUGUCACAGACAUUAUUUCCUUUAAGUUUGAUUACAUUAAUCUAAACAACUAUUCUUUUAAAUAAUAAUAAUAUUAAAAAUGUUGUUACAGCUGUUGGAAACCAAGAACGUUCUUGGUUUUGAGUGUUAGAAAAAGGAGAACGUUAAACUUCUCUAUAUUUAGUUUGUGUAAUUCAAGUUAGUUUGAUUGUAUGUAAUCAACUAACUAAUCGCUUGUUUAGUUAGUUAGUUAAAUAGAAGUUCAUUAUAAACAAUGUAAUAAAAGCUAUGAAUAAAUAACAUAGUCAUUUCUCAAUAAAUAUAACACAUUCAUAUCAUUCCAUUCCUUUUUUUUGGUUUUACUUUCAUUGAAACAAUUUAAACACUAACAAUUGGUAUCAAGAGUAAGGUUUCGAUCCCAGUAAAAAACACGAGUGAAGUGUGAGGAUCAAACACGAGUAUAGUGAGAAUGAGUUCAAGUGCAAAUAAUGGAAAUUUUCUCGUCCACAUGCCACAUUUUGAUGGAAAAGGUUGGAAUAGAUGGAGAAUGUAAGUUCGAGUAUUGUUUGGAUUUCAAGAAGUGCUGGAAAUCAUAGAGAAAAGUUUAGAAGAUUUGGGAGUCAACCCAACAGAGGUUGAAUUUAAAAGAAAACAAGAAGAAAGAUUGCAAGGCCACCUUUAUUCUUCAUCAAUGCCUUGACACAACUAACUUUGAUAAAAUUUCUGAUGCAAGAAAUGCAAAAGAAGCAUGGGACAUUUUGAAGAAGUGUUAUUCUGGAGGAACCAAGGUCAAGAAAGUGAAAUUACAGACCUGACAGAAACAGUUCGAAUUGUUGCAGAUGGAGGAACAAAAGAAGAUUUCAGAUCUGAUUUCAAGAUUGAGGAGUAUAACAAAUCAGAUGGCUAGCUGUGGUGAGAAGCUUACUGAACAGAAACUAUGUGAAAAGAUAUUGAGAUCUUUGCAUCCCAGGUUCGAUUAUGUUGUUUGUGCAAUUGAGGAAUCUAAAGACAUUUCCGCAUUGAGUCUUGAAGAGUUGCAGGGAACUCUAGAAGUAAGAGAGUUGAGAAUGGAUGAAAGGAGUGGGAGUAUUUCUGGGAAUUAGGCAUUGGUAGUAUAUGCUAACAAGAAAGGAGACCAGAAAAAGAAAUGGAAGAAGAAUAAAUUCAAGAAACCUGAAGAUAAGUCUGAAUCUUCAUCUAAAGGAGGAAAUUCAAGUGGUAAAUCAAAAGGAAAAUCAAGAAAUUUUGACAAGAAGAAGGUGCAAUGUUACAACUGUGAGAAGUUUGGACAUUUUGCAGAUGAAUGUUGGGCUGGAAAAAGAGGGAAUCAAAAGAAGAAAGAAGAAGAUGAAGCAUGUGCUGCUCAAGAAUGCUCUUCGUCAAACUUAGACACAGUCUUGUUGUUGGCUACCACACCGGGGAACGUUCUCCAUUUUCAGCCACAAACGCAGAACGUUCUCCAUUUUCAAACAUAGUUUUGUUAAUGGCUACAACAAACUAAGAAUAUUCUCCAUCCCAUGUUUGGUUCCUUGACACUAGUUGUUCUAAUCACAUGACAAGUCACAAAGAAUGGUUGGUAGAUAUUGAUACAUCAAGAAGGAGCAAGAUCAGGUUUGCUGAUGAUAGAACCUUAGAAGCUGAAGGAGCUGGCAACAUGGUGAUUAAGAGAAGAAAUGGAAAGACAAUAGUGAUUGAAAAUGUGAUGUAUGUGCUAGGAAUGAAGAGCAAUUUGCUGAACAUUGGGCAGCUGAUUCAGAAAGGGUUUCAGGUGAUCAUGAAGAAUGAUGUCUUAGAAAUGUAUGAUGGGAAAAAUAAGAUGAUACUCAAGACUCAUCUCUCAAAGAACAUAACCUUUGUUAUCAACAUACAAGCCGCAAAUAUUCAAUGUUUGAAGGCAACAAACUCAAUUGAUGAAAGUUGGAUUUGGCAAUCAAGAUUUGGACAUCUCAACUUCAUAAGCUUGUAGCAGCUAGGAGUCAAGAAGAUGGUGAGUGGAAUUCCUAUGAUUGAUGUCUCUUAGAAGGUGUGUGAAGUAUGUAUGGCAGGUAAACAAUCAAGAAAUUCCUUUCAAUCACAAGUGCAAGCAAUAGCAAAGAACAUUCUUGGGGUGAUUCUUAGUGACAUAUGUGGACCAUUUGAAGUGUCAUCAUUCGGAGGUAAUAAGUAUUUCAUAACUUUUGUUGAUGAAUUCAGGAGAAUGAUGUGAAUUUAUUUGAUUAAAACCAAAGAUGAAGCAUUGGAGACAUUUAAAAACUUCAAGGUUAAAAUGGAGAAAUAAAGUGGAGAAUCUAUCAAAGUGUUAAAGACACACGGAGGAGGAUAAUAUACUUCACAUGAAUUCAAGGAUUUUUGUGUUAAGAAUGAAAUUGAACAUGAGGUAACAACUCCCUACACACCUCAACACAAUGGCCUAGUUAAAAGGAGAAAUAUAAUCAUUUUAGACAUGACUAGAAGCAUGAUAAAAGAGAAGGGACGACCACAUAAGUUAUGGGGAGAAGUUGCAUCAAUUGUUGUCUAUAUUAUGAAUAAAUGUCCAACCAUAUAAAUAUAAAUAAAUAAAUUAUUGAUCUAUUCCUACGGUAUUGUCUGUCACUUAAAACUAGAUAAAUAUAAAUAAAGAAUUGAUCUAUUCUUACGGUAUUGUCUGUCACUAAAACUUAUUAAUUAUUUAUUAAAUUAAAUUUAUUUUAUUUUAUUUUAUCUCCCUACUAAUUGUAAUUCUAAAUUAUUAAGAUUAGUAAAUUAAAUUUAAAUUUCUAAUUUAUUUUUAUUAACUAAUGCCAUUGAAACAUACAAUAAAAUAUAAUUUAAUUCUACUAAUUCUAUUAAAACAUAUAAUAAAUAGUUAUUUUGCUCUAAAAGAUUCAAUAAACUUUCCACAAAAGCUAGAAUGAGUUUGUUAACAUUUAUUGUGAUAAACUACAAACUAAUUUCAUAAAGAUUAGUAAUCAUCUUCCUAAACAAAAUAUUUGAGGCGUGCUUGUGAAAAAUAAAAGAACAAUAACAUCUUCGAUGUUUUAUCUAACUGCAAAAAAAGUAUAUCUCACCCUUAAACUUUUUUUUAGUUGGAGGCACCAUGUGAGUUCCUCAACUCGUUUCUCAAAUUUAUCAUUUGCCUAUUUAAGUGCGACAGUUUCUCGUGCGGUCUAAAGCAAAUGGAACUUACCAUGUUCAAGUUCCUAAGUUCUUUUCUGGUUAGAUGUCCUCUCCAUCGGCAUUGUGUCAGAAUUGAACAUUUCUUCAACCUCUUAUAAUAUGUGGAAACCCUGAAACAUCACCAGCGAGCCUGAAAUUUUUUGAGAGAGAGUUUAAAUAUUGAAUAGAUAUGUCCUUAAUAGAUGGUCCUAAUCCUACAAGAGUUAACUAUAACCUUAAUUGUGAUGAAGCUUUAGUUCGUUUCCUAAAAUUGAACUCCUUACGGGCAGCGAAUGUCCUCAAAGUUGUUUGAAAAAAGUUAAAGGAGAAAACGUUUACCACAAUAACGAUCAUUAACAUGGGAAUAAACUAUGAAUUGUGGCUUGCUUCUUAGAUUUCUACAAAAGUUUCCUUGUUGGACAAGUUGUAGACAUUGAACUUCAUUGAUUCAACCAUCUAAUGAAUACUAUUUAUCAUUGAGUAGAUUCAAUCUGCGAAUUUUCAUAAAAUUUUAAAAUUAUCCGAUACUACAGUUUGAUAGCAUACAUACCAGGUUCAUCAGUGCCAUCACAUAAAUUGUCGUUAAGACAGUUAAUGGAGAAGACUUUUGUUCCAUCCUUACAUUUGAUGAGGUGAGAGGUGUAAUAAUAAUACAAUGUGCAGAACCAUUGAAUUAAAUAAAGCACGUCAAACAUACCACCAGUUAAAUACUUAUUCAUAAAUUUUAACAAUCUUGAUAUUCUAACAUUAUUAAACAUUUGAUCAUUUACAUAUUUGUUCCAGAUCAGAUGCUUCAAAUGUAGGAAUUCUAAUUUCAUGAACAGCCACCAGAAAGUUUUUAACAUUUUCAAAAUACUGAAUGCUGAUAAUGGUGCUCCAACCUAUAAAGAAUAAUACAUAAUUUACAUAAGUAAACAAACAAUAACAAAAAACAUAGAGUAAAUAAAAUUGUGCGUCGACAAGAGAAUAGGCCAUCAUCGAUAAAGGUAGCACCAUCACUAUUUGAUUCCUUAGAUAAGGCAUGCGACCUAUCUGCCACCUUGGGGUUGUAGUUCUCUCACACAGUCAAUAACCUAUGUUAGGAUAACUGUAGCCUGCCAUGAUCGUAAAUCCCUCAUCAGCCACCAUAAGAUCUCAUUCAAAUACAAGAAUCCCAAUAUGUUCCUCCUUGAACACAAACUUGAGCUGCAAGCACUCUCAACAAUUCUUAAAGCAUUAGUUUCUCCUUUCUUGAACAUACUAACAUUUUCAACUAUAAUUUGGAGAGCCCUAAAAUGAGUGAUCGUGUAUAGUUCAAUUAGAAAGAAAUAUAAAUAAAUUUUAUAGUGUAUCAUGCUCCAACUUUUAAAUAACAGUGUUUUCCCUAAGAAUAAGAGAGUCUAAUAUACCACCCUUAAUAUACCACCCAAAACUGAAUUCUCAACCAAGUUGCAACUUCAGAAUAUCCAUCUUCAGUAGCACACGCUCUAGACAUGCAUGUUGUAUUAUAAGGCAUUACAACUUCUCCUGAAGCAGAAACAGCAACCAAACCAACAGUGCCCUUUGAUGUGCGCUCAUGUACAACACAAUUUGCAGCUUCUUUUAGAGACAGGCCUUUGAAUUCCAUCAUAGCAGCCACAUCUCUUGCUACUGUAACACGUAUUAUCGCUUCGCCUUUUCCUGUUGCCGAAACGGCACAAAAUUCAUUGGCAUAUGUACCAGCACCUAUGAGAGGCGAGUUGCUGAUUCUACCAACUAUUUUGUUCACUAAUCCGCAAGUUUCUCGUGCAGCCUACGUAGAUGAAGUAUUUCCUUUUAAGAAAAUGCACCUCUUGUUAGAGAUUGUACUAUUUCUGUGACACUUGCUUCAAUGCUUUUUCCGUUUAUUCUUUUGACAAUGUUGACUUUUUCUAAAAUAUUCUUCUACUUCUAGCUUUUUUGGAAAAUUACGUGGUACCCAGUGAUUCAAACAAAUGUAACGUGAUAUUAAACAUACACUAAGUAGUUUGUGGUUUUUUAUUGACUUAAUUUCAAUAACAAACAUCCAUUGGGUAUACAUUUGAUCCUUUUAUUUUGUUGGUAAUCCUUAGUUUUUAUCGCGUUUAAAUGUGAGUAGUUAGUCUUACAUUAAUAAAUUAAAUGUUUAAAUAUAAAAAGAUGUGAUUCUUAAGUUUCAUGUCUUGAGGCUUUGGGUGGAAAUAUAAUUAAAGUUCUUGUGUUCCUGGAGUAUUAACUUGUGGCUUUUGACACUCCUUUAAUUUCUCUAACAAGUGGUAUCAAAUCUUUAGUUUAGCUUGGUUGGAUAGCGAGAGUGAAUCCUGGUGUAUUAAAUUCUUAUAACGAGAGAUGAGCCUCCACCUUGAUGAAACAGUGGAGAAACUCUAAUAGGCCACCAGAGUUUUAUGAGAUCCAACAAGAACAGUGCAGUGUGAUGGGUUGGCCCAAAUAAACACAUUUCAUAUGCUUAGACAAAGAGAGAGGAGAAAAUACGGUUCACAUGGUAAAUCGCAAUUGAAGAAGAAAAACGAUGCCUUUCAAAUCUCAAUUAAAAACUCUCAGAAAUUAGAAAGGUAGACAACUAAUAAAAAAGAGGAAGCAAUAAGAGUAUAACUUAUGGCCUUUAUUCACGGAUGAACCAAUGAUAAGAUUACUAAAGCAAUUUAGGCUUUGAAAAAUAAUAUUUUUCAUUAGUAGAAAAACCAUCAAUUUUUUUUUUUCAAUAAUAAAAAUACUUCAUUUUAAUAUUUUCAGAACUAAAUUGUAAUAUAUUAUUGAAAAUUAAUAUUAUCUUAAUAAAUAUUAAAAAAUAAAUAUUAUAUAGAAUUAAUUAUAUCAAUUUAAUAGAUUAUUUUUAUAUUAAAAUUUGUUUUUAGACGGUCGGUCAUUAUUAUUGGUUUAAUUAUUAUUUUGUUCUUGUAUGCUUCUAGCCAUUUUUGUUGCAUUAUAUAGGUGGUGUGGCUUGAAUCUAGGAAGAGAGCGUGUGGCUAUCUUAAUGCCACACGUGUGAACGGUAGCUGAGGUGACACAAUUGUUAGCUUAAUAUUAAGCCAAAUAAGGCAAAAGGGUGGACAUCAAGAGAUUCUUGUAUGCUUCAUUACCCUAAUUUGUUGUUUCUAGAACACACAUAAUGAUCGGUGUGAACUAAAUAGAGGUUGUGCAAUUUAGCUAAGGUUUAGUGUUUUCUUGUGUAAAUGAUUAUGUGAAGGUGUUUAAAGUACUUUUUUAUGUGAGGAGUGGUGGUGGCUUUGAUUAUGUGCGUUCAACAUCUGGUGGCUUUGAUUUAGGAUGGAUCGAACCCCACCAAUACGAACAAGGUGGAACAACCAUAUAUUCCCAUGUGUCAUUAUUACAAACAAAUAAUUCACCUCAAAUUUUAGUUAUUUAUAUAUUCAAAAAUUAAUUAUUUUAUUUAUUUAAUAUUAAUAUUUUUAACAUAUUUUUAUUUAAAUAAAAAAUAUAUAUAAUUUUGUAAUUGAAUAUUUGACAUUCAAAAAAAAUUUUAAAAAUUUAAAUUAUAUCUUAUUUAAAAUUUUAAAAAUUAAAAAAAUUACUUAUGUGAUCCCUUAAUUUAAUUUUAUGUAAAACUUCAAUUAUUUAUUUAUUUUUUCGAUUUAGUCUUUUAUUUAAUUUUAAGUAACAAUUUGAUUCUUUAUAUCUUAAAAUAUUAUCAAUAUUAUUCUUUUUUACAUAAAUUUAGAAAAUUCAUCGAAAUCUUCAAACAAAACCCAUAAAAUUCAAUACCAAUUUUAAGAAAAUUCAUAUAUUCAUCAAAGACAUAAUUCAAAUAUUCAAAUAAACUCAUAUUUUCAUAUCCAAUAUCAAAUUCAUCAAUUAAACAAUGAAAAUGUGACUUUAUUUGAAUAUUUGAGUUAUUAAUUUAAUGAAAUGUGCAUUAUAUUGAGAAUGAUAAUUAAUUUUAUGGGUUUUAUUUAAAAAAAUUGAUGAAUUUUUGUAAAAAAUGAUAAUAUUGUUGAUAUUUUAAGAUAUAAAAUAUCAAAUUGUAACUUAAAAUUAAAUAAAAGAUCAAACAAAAAAAUAAUAAAAGACUUAUAUUAUCUAAAAUUAAGUUAAGAAACCGCUAAAGACAAUUAUGUCAAAAAUUAAUUAUAAAUAACUAAUUUUUUUUAAUAACUAUAAAUUUAUUUAUAAUCGAAAUAAGUAGUUUAGAAAACUUCAUUGAAGUACUCUGAUGUAAGUAUUUUGACAUUAAAUCUAUUAUAAAUUCAUAAUUAUGGUUAGUGUCUCACCGUAGUUAUAGAUUACUAAGUGCAAUUUGUCAUAGCAAAGCAAACUUCCUUGAUAUACUUUUGCGGAUCUGUUGAAACUGCCGAGGAGAAGAGAUGGUAUAGGUAACAAAGCAAAAUUGUGAAGAAAUUCUUACAACAAAAUGGCAAAGGUCUUCUUUUUUUAUAAUAAAAUUUGUCACAUUUAAACUGUAACAAAUUUUAACUAAAAAUUACCCCUUUUCAUUUAUUUUAAGAUAAUACAACAAAAUUGUCUUCAUUUAAUGUUUAUUUUCUCUAUACAAUUAUAUGAUAUGAGGGACAAUUUAGGGUAAUGAAGUUAAACUUCUAAAUGAAAUUAAUAACAUUAAAUGAAUAAAUAAUUGUUAGUUUUAAUAAAUAAACUUUUAAAUAGAUAUAAAUUUUUAGUUUUAAUAAAAUUUUAAAAUUUUAUUAUAAGCCCUUAUUUUUUGAAGUCCUUAAAAAAAUUGAUUAAUUGAUUUCUCAAGAGUACAACCUUUCUCCUGGGAAUACCAAUAAUAGUACAUCACAACCAAAGAUGAUCCGAAGAGAAAAGUAAUCAUACAAAACAAAAGUGUGUAGUAGGUGGAACACUAGUUUGGAGAAUGAUAUUCUACGUUAAAACAAUAAGACAAAAAAUAAAAGAUCAAUAAUAAUAAAGCAAUUAUAGAAACUUUUUGAAUUUUGUCUCUUAUCAUUUUUAUAAGAUUCCUUCUAAAUUUACAAUUACAUUACUUACCUCUUUAUUAACAUAUUUUUAAUUAUUUAUAAUAAAUAAUUUCAUUUUAACAUAUAUAUUAUAUCAAUCAUCAAUUAAUUUAAUAUCAAUUUUUUUUAUUUAUUUUAAUCUCCAUAAUUUACUGAAAUGAGUCUUAUAUUUAUAAGCAAAGAUAAUAUAAUCUAAAACCUUUACAAAAUAUCAUAUAUUAGUAAAAGAUCGAUUGUAUAUAUAUUAUAUUUAUAACAUACUCUACAAACCAUAAUUUUGUUCUUUGUCAAAAAAGAAUAUAUUCAUUUAUUCAAAUUAAUUAAUAUAUAAUUUGAAAAUAAAUUUAAAUUUAUUAAAAUAUAAAAAAUGAUAUAUAUGCAAAAAAAUUCAUAACAGACAUAAUAAUAGUAUAAAAUAGUAAAAUUAAAAUAAAUGUGAUAAAUUUAAAGUUAUCAAAAUAUGCAUGUGUUUAGAUAUAUAUAACAUUGACAACAAACAAAAGAAAAAUUAAAUAUUACAUCAAAAUAACGAACGAACAAAAGAUGUCGUGCUCAAAAGUUAAAAUUAUCAACAAACACAAAAAGGUAAAAGUAAAUUUAUAUAAAAUCUAUUUAUUUAAAAAGAUUAAAUUACAAUUUAAAGAGGUAAUUUUUAGUAAAAAAAAAAGACUAUAAAUCACUUCUUUUUACUACAAUAUAUAAUAAAGAAGAGGAGAGGUGCUUAGAACUUUUUUUAGGUUAAGAGGACGAGGCGGUUGGUAAACAAUAAACUUGUGAAAUAUUAAAAUAGUUCAAAUUGAAAUUCACAAAAUUCAAACACACAAAUCAUUAUGAAGGAGAGAUCAGGUGGUGCGGCGGCACAGGGUAAUUCCAUCACCUACUGGGAGCUGACAAAUCUCGAUCCUUGAAUCUUGAGCUAGAUACUUGUUGAGUGCAAUCACAUGAGGACGAUAAUGUUUCACGUAAUCCAUUAGAGGUGCAUCAGGUGGUGCAACCACCGAUCCACUCCAUAAGGUGUUAUCGUAUCCGAUCAAUCCCCCAAUUUUCACAAGAUCAAUCACCCUCUUGUGAUAGUUUAAGUAAUUAUCCUUGUCAGCAUCCACAAAAACAAAAUCAAAUAUUCCCUUAUUAUUUUCCUGCAAAAUUAAUAGACACCAAUUCAAUCAAUCAUAAACUCACUUUUGCUGGUCAAGUCUUUAAUAUAAUAUAUUUUAUCCCAUCAUUUUUAUAAGACAAAGUUAUUAAAUUUAAUAAAAAAGUUAAAUUUUGUUGACUAAAUUUAAACACAUAAGUGUUAUGACAGAAGUAGUUAAGCUUUUUAUAAUUAGAAAAUUGUAAAAUGUGCAUGAUGAAAUCAAGUAGGACUUAAUCAAAAAAAAUUGAAAUAAAGUUGGUGAGAAAUGAUGUACUCACAUCUUGAAGAAGUUGGUCAAGAAGAGGGAGAGCAGGCCCUUCUCUAAAGUCAAUCUUGUGAGCUACUCCAGCUUUUUCAAUUAUUGGCAAUCCCAGCUCAUAAUAUUCACGACUCACGUCCAAAGCCAAUAUCUAAUAAAAUUAAUCAACCAAGAUUUAUGCAUUAAUUUAUGACUUUUAGGAUUAUAUAUUAUUAUUUUUAUUUUAAUUAUAUUCCAUAGAACAAAUAAAAAGGACAGUUCAUAUUAUUUUUUUUAUCACUGCA
rnacentral:lncRNA from 1 species